UACAGAGGUCUCAAGCGUUGUUCGGAUUCAUUGGGCGUAAAGGGUGCGUAGGCGGCGCGGUAAGUCGGGUGUGAAAUCUCGGAGCUUAACUCCGAAACUGCAUUCGAUACUGCCGUGCUUGAGGACUGGAGAGGAGACUGGAAUUUACGGUGUAGCGGUGAAAUGCGUAGAUAUCGUAAGGAAGACCAGUGGCGAAGGCGGGUCUCUGGGCCGAAACUGACGCUGAGGAGCGAAAGCGUGGGGAGCAAACAGG
rnacentral:rRNA from 1 species